AACGAACGCUGGCGGCGUGCCUAACACAUGCAAGUCGAGCGCGAAAGUUCCUUCGGGAAUGAGUAGAGCGGCGGACGGGUGAGUAAUACGUGGGCAACCUGCCUCAUAGAGGGGAAUAGCCUUCCGAAAGGGAGAUUAAUACCGCAUAAGAUUGUAGCUUCGCAUGAAGUAGCAAUUAAAGGAGCAAUCCGCUAUGAGAUGGGGCCCGCGGCGCAUUAGCUAGUUGGUGAGGUAACGGCUCACCAAGGCGACGAUGCGUAGCCGACCUGAGAGGGUGAUCGGCCACAUUGGGACUGAGACACGGCCCAGACUCCUACGGGAGGCAG
rnacentral:rRNA from 1 species